CGUCGUCAUCCUCCUCCGCCGCGCCGGCGGCCGACCCCUCCGAGUCGCUGCUCAUGCCGCUGCUCUCCCCGCUGGCCAUCGCCGCGGCCUCCGGGUCGAACGACAGGUACGGCAUUGCGCCGAACGCCCUGGCGAGCGCGGCGGCGGUGGCGCCGUCGGUCCUCUGCUUGAGCACCUCGAACAUCACCUCGGGCUCGUGCUGCAUCGAGCGGAGCACGUCGGCGCACGACGGCCCCGCCGCCGCGCGCGUGACGGCGAAGCAGUGCGGCCCGUCGCUCUGCGACACGCGCACCACGCUCGGCCCGCCGAACAGGUUGUGGAGGCCGCCGAGGGCCUCCUGGUAGGCGCCGCCGAGGAACAUGCCGAGGUAGUAGCCGCGGGUGCCGUGGACGGGGAGCUCGUGCAGCGGCAGGCUGUGCCUCCCGCCGAUGAAGUGGUCGACCUUGCCGUCGCUGUCGCAGGUGAGGUCGGAGAGGACGCCGUCGACCGCAGGGCGCUCACCGAGGCGCUGGAUUGGGAUGAUCGGGAACAUCUGCCCGAUCGCCCACAUGUCCGGCAGGGAGGUGAACACGGACAGGUUGAUGUGGUACGUGCGCGGCGGCUCGGCGGCGCCCAUGCCGCGGGCGACGAUCUCGCAGAGGCUGUCCACCGCGGCGAGGUGCUCCAGGCCAAGAACGCCGUCCUUGAACUGAUCGGCGCAGCGCCGCUUCAGCUGGUCGGCGUACAGAGCGCAGGUGUCGAAGUCGCCGCGCACCGCGGCGGCCAUGAGGUUGCGGUAGUCGGCGUGGCAGUCGUCGGUGAGCUCGUCGAGCAGGUAGCCCGUGGCCGGGUCAAUGCGGCCGGGCGCCGAAGCCGAGAAGGCCUCGAACACCAGGACAGAGUGGUGCGACACCAGCGCGCGGCCGCUCUCGCUGCAGAUGAUGGGAUGCGCGACGCCCUUGCGGUCACAGACGCGGCCGACGGCGGCCACCACGGCCGCCGCGUACUCCUCCAAGCUGUAUGCCACGGACAUGUCGGUCUGCGCCGAGUGACUCCCGUCGUAGUCAAUGCCGAGGCCUCCACCAACGUCGAUGACGCGCAUGGCCGCGCCCAGGCGGGCGAGCUCGCAGUAGAUCUGCGCGGCCUCCCCGACGCCAUCGCCGAGCAGAGCAGUGGUCGGGAUCUGGGAGCCAAUGUGGAAGUGCAGGAGCUGGAGGCAGUCGAGCAUACCAAGGGUCUUGAGCUUGGCGACGACGGAGAGAAUCUGCGCGGCGUUGAGGCCGAACUUGCCCUUCUCCCCGGACGUGGAGCCGAAGUGGCCGGCGUGCUUGGUGCGCAGCUUGGCGCGCAUGCCGACCACCGGGCGCACGCCGAGGCGGCGGCUAGCGUCGACCACAAUGUCGAGCUCCUCCUCCUGCU
rnacentral:lncRNA from 1 species